rnacentral:rRNA from 1 species
AUGGGGGCAACCCUGAUCCAGCAAUGCCGCGUGAGUGAUGAAGGCCUUAGGGUUGUAAAGCUCUUUCGGCGGGGACGAUGAUGACGGUACCCGCAGAAGAAGCCCCGGCUAACUUCGUGCCAGCAGCCGCGGUAAUACGAAGGGGGCGAGCGUUGUUCGGAUUUACUGGGCGUAAAGGGCGCGUAGGCGGCUCUGAAAGUCAGAUGUGAAAGCCCCGGGCUUAACCUGGGAAUUGCAUUUGAUACUCUGGAGCUGGAGUACGGGAGAGGAGAGUGGAAUUCCCAGUGUAGAGGUGAAAUUCGUAGAUAUUGGGAAGAACACCGGUGGCGAAGGCGGCUCUCUGGACCGUAACUGACGCUGAGGCGCGAAAGCGUGGGGAGCAAACAGGAUUAGAUACCCUGGUAGUCCACGCCGUAAACGAUGUGCGCUAGACGUUGGAGGGCUUAGCUUUCCAGUGUCGCAGCUAACGCGAUAAGCGCACCGCCUGGGGAGUA